rnacentral:rRNA from 1 species
GGGUUGUGAGGUUAAGCGACUAAGCGUACACGGUGGAUGCCCUGGCAGUCAGAGGCGAUGAAGGACGUGCUAAUCUGCGAUAAGCGUCGGUAAGGUGAUAUGAACCGUUAUAACCGGCGAUUUCCGAAUGGGGAAACCCAGUGUGUUUCGACACACUAUCAUUAACUGAAUCCAUAGGUUAAUGAGGCGAACCGGGGGAACUGAAACAUCUAAGUACCCCGAGGAAAAGAAAUCAACCGAGAUUCCCCCAGUAGCGGCGAGCGAACGGGGAGCAGCCCAGAGCCUGAAUCAGUGUGUGUGUUAGUGGAAGCGUCUGGAAAGGCGCGCGAUACAGGGUGACAGCCCCGUACACAAAAAUGCACAUACUGUGAGCUCGAUGAGUAGGGCGGGACACGUGGUAUCCUGUCUGAAUAUGGGGGGACCAUCCUCCAAGGCUAAAUACUCCUGACUGACCGAUAGUGAACCAGUACCGUGAGGGAAAGGCGAAAAGAACCCCGGCGAGGGGAGUGAAAAAGAACCUGAAACCGUGUACGUACAAGCAGUGGGAGCCUCUUAAUGGGGUGACUGCGUACCUUUUGUAUAAUGGGUCAGCGACUUAUAUUCUGUAGCAAGGUUAACCGAAUAGGGGAGCCGAAGGGAAACCGAGUCUUAACUGGGCGUUAAGUUGCAGGGUAUAGACCCGAAACCCGGUGAUCUAGCCAUGGGCAGGUUGAAGGUUGGGUAACACUAACUGGAGGACCGAACCGACUAAUGUUGAAAAAUUAGCGGAUGACUUGUGGCUGGGGGUGAAAGGCCAAUCAAACCGGGAGAUAGCUGGUUCUCCCCGAAAGCUAUUUAGGUAGCGCCUCGUGAAUUCAUCUCCGGGGGUAGAGCACUGUUUCGGCAAGGGGGUCAUCCCGACUUACCAACCCGAUGCAAACUGCGAAUACCGGAGAAUGUUAUCACGGGAGACACACGGCGGGUGCUAACGUCCGUCGUGAAGAGGGAAACAACCCAGACCGCCAGCUAAGGUCCCAAAGUCAUGGUUAAGUGGGAAACGAUGUGGGAAGGCCCAGACAGCCAGGAUGUUGGCUUAGAAGCAGCCAUCAUUUAAAGAAAGCGUAAUAGCUCACUGGUCGAGUCGGCCUGCGCGGAAGAUGUAACGGGGCUAAACCAUGCACCGAAGCUGCGGCAGCGACACUGUGUGUUGUUGGGUAGGGGAGCGUUCUGUAAGCCUGUGAAGGUGUGCUGUGAGGCAUGCUGGAGGUAUCAGAAGUGCGAAUGCUGACAUAAGUAACGAUAAAGCGGGUGAAAAGCCCGCUCGCCGGAAGACCAAGGGUUCCUGUCCAACGUUAAUCGGGGCAGGGUGAGUCGACCCCUAAGGCGAGGCCGAAAGGCGUAGUCGAUGGGAAACAGGUUAAUAUUCCUGUACUUGGUGUUACUGCGAAGGGGGGACGGAGAAGGCUAUGUUGGCCGGGCGACGGUUGUCCCGGUUUAAGCGUGUAGGCUGGUUUUCCAGGCAAAUCCGGAAAAUCAAGGCUGAGGCGUGAUGACGAGGCACUACGGUGCUGAAGCAACAAAUGCCCUGCUUCCAGGAAAAGCCUCUAAGCAUCAGGUAACAUUAAAUCGUACCCCAAACCGACACAGGUGGUCAGGUAGAGAAUACCAAGGCGCUUGAGAGAACUCGGGUGAAGGAACUAGGCAAAAUGGUGCCGUAACUUCGGGAGAAGGCACGCUGAUAUGUAGGUGAAGUCCCUCGCGGAUGGAGCUGAAAUCAGUCGAAGAUACCAGCUGGCUGCAACUGUUUAUUAAAAACACAGCACUGUGCAAACACGAAAGUGGACGUAUACGGUGUGACGCCUGCCCGGUGCCGGAAGGUUAAUUGAUGGGGUUAGCGGUAACGCGAAGCUCUUGAUCGAAGCCCCGGUAAACGGCGGCCGUAACUAUAACGGUCCUAAGGUAGCGAAAUUCCUUGUCGGGUAAGUUCCGACCUGCACGAAUGGCGUAAUGAUGGCCAGGCUGUCUCCACCCGAGACUCAGUGAAAUUGAACUCGCUGUGAAGAUGCAGUGUACCCGCGGCAAGACGGAAAGACCCCGUGAACCUUUACUAUAGCUUGACACUGAACAUUGAGCCUUGAUGUGUAGGAUAGGUGGGAGGCUUUGAAGUGUGGACGCCAGUCUGCAUGGAGCCGGCCUUGAAAUACCACCCUUUAAUGUUUGAUGUUCUAACGUUGGCCCCUGAUCGGGGUUGCGGACAGUGUCUGGUGGGUAGUUUGACUGGGGCGGUCUCCUCCUAAAGAGUAACGGAGGAGCACGAAGGUUGGCUAAUCCUGGUCGGACAUCAGGAGGUUAGUGCAAUGGCAUAAGCCAGCUUGACUGCGAGCGUGACGGCGCGAGCAGGUGCGAAAGCAGGUCAUAGUGAUCCGGUGGUUCUGAAUGGAAGGGCCAUCGCUCAACGGAUAAAAGGUACUCCGGGGAUAACAGGCUGAUACCGCCCAAGAGUUCAUAUCGACGGCGGUGUUUGGCACCUCGAUGUCGGCUCAUCACAUCCUGGGGCUGAAGUAGGUCCCAAGGGUAUGGCUGUUCGCCAUUUAAAGUGGUACGCGAGCUGGGUUUAGAACGUCGUGAGACAGUUCGGUCCCUAUCUGCCGUGGGCGCUGGAGAACUGAGGGGGGCUGCUCCUAGUACGAGAGGACCGGAGUGGACGCAUCACUGGUGUUCGGGUUGUCAUGCCAAUGGCACUGCCCGGUAGCUAAAUGCGGAAGAGAUAAGUGCUGAAAGCAUCUAAGCACGAAACUUGCCCCGAGAUGAGUUCUCCCUGACUCCUUGAGAGUCCUGAAGGAACGUUGAAGACGACGACGUUGAUAGGCCGGGUGUGUAAGCGCAGCGAUGCGUUGAGCUAACCGGUACUAAUGAACCGUGAGGCUUAACCUUACAACGCCGAAG